AGUGAACGCUGGCGGCAGGCCUAACACAUGCAAGUCGAACGGCAGCACAGGGAGCUUGCUCCUGGAUGGCGAGUGGCGGACGGGUGAGGAAUACAUCGGAAUCUGCCCUGUCGUGGGGGAUAACGUAGGGAAACUUACGCUAAUACCGCAUACGACCUUCGGGUGAAAGAGGGGGAUCGCAAGACCUCUCGCGAUUGGAUGAGCCGAUGUCGGAUUAGCUAGUUGGCGGGGUAAAGGCCCACCAAGGCGACGAUCCGUAGCUGGUCUGAGAGGAUGAUCAGCCACACUGGAACUGAGACACGGUCCAGACUCCUACGGGAGGCAGCAGUGGGGAAUAUUGGACAAUGGGCGCAAGCCUGAUCCAGCCAUGCCGCGUGAGUGAAGAAGGCCUUCGGGUUGUAAAGCUCUUUUGUCCGGAAAGAAAAGCAUUCGGUUAAUAACCGGAUGUCAUGACGGUACCGGAAGAAUAAGCACCGGCUAACUUCGUGCCAGCAGCCGCAGUAAAAC
rnacentral:rRNA from 1 species